CCUACGGGAGGCAGCAGUGAGGAAUAUUGGUCAAUGGGCGCAGGCCUGAACCAGCCAAGUCGCGUGAGGGAAGACUGCCCUAUGGGUUGUAAACCUCUUUUAUAAGGGAAGAAUAAUGACUACGUGUAGUCAGAUGCCCGUACCUUAUGAAUAAGCAUCGGCUAACUCUGUGCCAGCAGCCGCGGUAAUACGGAGGCUGCGGGCGUUAUCCGGUUUUAUUGGGGUUAAAGGGUGCGUAGGGGGUAUUUUAAGUUAGUGGUAAAACGUCGGGGCUAAACCUUGAUUGGCCAUUAAAACUGGGGUACUAGAGUACAGACGAGGUAGGCGGAAUUAGUUAAGUAGCGGUGAAAUGCUUAGAUAUAACUUAGAACACUGAUAGCGAAGGCAGCUUACCAGACUGUUACUGACGCUGAAGCACGAGAGCGUGGGUAGCGAACAGGAUUAGAUACCCGGGUAGUC
rnacentral:rRNA from 1 species